CAAAUUUACAGCAACGUUUGUUUAUUGGAUGUACCAAAGUCACCAUUCAAUUUGACUUUUUCAGCUUUCCAUCUCAAUAUUGGAAAGAUUUGGAUCAAAAUUGGUCAGAUUGGGUUUUAAUCCUUAUUACUAUUAUUGUGUCUUCUUCUUUAAUUUCAUCCACCAUUGUCAUCCUCCAUUGUCGAAGGUUGCCAUUGUUUCAGAUCGAGAGUUUCA
rnacentral:lncRNA from 1 species